UACGAGGGGGGCGAGCGUUGUUCGGAAUUAUUGGGCGUAAAGGGUGCGUAGGCGGUUUGGUAAGUCUUAUGUGAAAUCUACAGGCUCAACUUGUAGUCUGCAUGAGAAACUGCCGGGCUUGAGUGUGGGAGAGGUGAGUGGAAUUCCUGGUGUAGCGGUGAAAUGCGUAGAUAUCAGGAGGAACACCUGUGGCGAAAGCGGCUCACUGGACCAUAACUGACGCCGAUGCACGAAAGCUAGGGGAGCAAACAGG
rnacentral:rRNA from 1 species